rnacentral:rRNA from 1 species
UAAUAAUAAAUCUUUACUAUAAUUAUUAUUUAUUAUAUAUUUUAUAAAAAUCAAUUUAUUGUUAAUGUAUUUGUUAUGGAAUUAAUUAUUUUUGGUUAUAUUAAAUUAGUACUGUGAAGGAAAAUUUGGAAAUUAAUAAUUAUUGUAUAAGUAGAAUAUAAAUUUGUACCUUGUGUAUCAGGUUUUAUUAAUAAAAUUUCAUUAAAUUUUGAUUUUCUCGAUUUUUUUAGAGUUAAUAAUUUAUAUUAUUUAUUGUUGAAGAAAUAUUUAUAAUAAAUUUGUUGGUAAUGAAAUGUUAAUCGUUAAUAAAGGUAUCUAGUUCUUUGGGAAAUGAGUUUAAUUUAUAUUUUUUCUUUAAUAAUUUACUUGUAAAUUUAUUUUUUAGGAAAAAUAAAUAAUAGUAGGGAUAAGCUUAUUAUUAAAUAUUUAUAGAAUUUAGGAUAAUAAAGUAAUGUGAAUUUAAAAAUGUUUAUUAUUAAAAGUAUGUUAAAAUUUUACUUUUAUAAUUAUAAAUUUUUUGUUUCUUAAUUAUUUACUGAGGAUUUUUAAUUAAUUAAUAAUUAAUUAAAAUUAUGAUGAAAUUAGUAUAUUAUAUUAUUAUUAAAAUUAUUUAUAAAACUUGUAAUUUUGAGGAACUAGGCAAAAAUAAAAUAAAUUGUUGUUCGCCUGUUUAACAAAAACAUCUCUUCUUGUUUAAGUAAGAAGUAUGACCUGCCCAAUGAUAAUUAUUAAAUGGCCGCGGUAUAUUGACCGUGCAAAGGUAGCAUAAUCAUUAGUCUUUUAAUUGAAGGCUGGAAUGAAUGGUUAGACGAGAUAACAUCUAUCUUAAUUUUAUUAAAUUGAAUUUAAUUUUUAAGUUAAAAAGCUUAAAUUUUUUUUUGGGACGAGAAGACCCUAUAGAGUUUAUAUAUAAUGAAUGAUUUAAUGAUUUUGUUAUAAAUUAUUUUAUUUAUAAUAUUUUGUUGGGGUGACAAAAAGAUAAAAGUAACUCUUUUAAUUAAUUUUUAUAAAUUUAUAUAGUGUUUGAUCCACAAUUAGUGAUUAUAAGACUAAAUUACCUUAGGGAUAACAGCGUAAUCUUUUUUGAGAGUUCAUAUCGACAAAAGGGAUUGCGACCUCGAUGUUGGAUUAAGAAUAUCUUCAGGUGUAGAAGCUUGAAAAUUAGGUCUGUUCGACCUUUAAAAUCUUACAUGAUCUGAGUUCAAACCGGCGUGAGCCAGGUUGGUUUCUAUCUAAUAAUAAUUUAAAUAUUUUAGUACGAAAGGACCAAAUAUUUAAAAUAAUUUUUUUGUUUUGAUUAUUAUUA